rnacentral:rRNA from 1 species
AUUGAACGCUGGCGGCAUGCCUUACACAUGCAAGUCGAACGGCAGCACGGGUGCUUGCACCUGGUGGCGAGUGGCGAACGGGUGAGUAAUACAUCGGAACAUGUCCUGUAGUGGGGGAUAGCCCGGCGAAAGCCGGAUUAAUACCGCAUACGAUCCACGGAUGAAAGCGGGGGACCUUCGGGCCUCGCGCUAUAGGGUUGGCCGAUGGCUGAUUAGCUAGUUGGUGGGGUAAAGGCCUACCAAGGCGACGAUCAGUAGCUGGUCUGAGAGGACGACCAGCCACACUGGGACUGAGACAAGGCCCAGACUCCUACGGGAGGCAGCAGUGGGGAAUUUUGGACAAUGGGCGAAAGCCUGAUCCAGCAAUGCCGCGUGUGUGAAGAAGGCCUUCGGGUUGUAAAGCACUUUUGUCCGGAAAGAAAUCCUUGACUCUAAUACAGUCGGGGGAUGACGGUACCGGAAGAAUAAGCACCGGCUAACUACGUG